AAAACAUUUGCAUUGAGCUAACUAAGAUGUGCGUAGAAGCUGCUCUGAAACCUCUGAAAGGGUGAAUACCAAAAGAUGAACAGGCAUCAUCCUAGUGGUUGAUUUGAAAGAGAAAUGCUGAAGCCCAACUUGUGAUUUGUGCAGUUGAACAUCACCUUACCAUGAAGCAGAGCCAGAAGAGAAGAAAGAACCAACUUUUCCUUGUUUGUCCACUUCUGCCUUCCAUUUCUUUGAUGACGUAUUCAUGCAGAAGCUGAAACUCCGAAAACAAAGGAAUCCGAGUGAAACGAACAGUUCAUAAAAACAGCGCGCUUACUGGAAGAUGACAUUGUUGAAUACUAUGUGUUUUCAGUCAGGCUGACAGUGAUUAUAAAGUCACCCCACUUUAAAAGUCCAAAGCACAUCCAGCUCAUGAAGAAGAUUAUUUCAAAGCACAAACUGACCUUGGCUUUGACGAGCAACUGUUUAUUCGUCACGUUCAGCUCAGAUGGUUAACACUCAUUCCAGCUUUGACAAGGAUAGUUGACAACUGGGAGCCUCUCUUUAAAUUUUAUUGAUGUUGGAUUUACAUAAGGCCUUUUGUAGACACAUUCUAACGAUGGCCAUCCUCUUGUUGAAAACUUUGUAUAUUGCGCUUGUAAUUGAGUAAGUAUGCUUGUGUUUGGAUGGGAAAAAAGGUAAGAUACAUUUACUAAAAAAUGCCCUAAAAAGUCCUAAGUUUCAAACAAUUUUCCCUAAAAAGUCCAACCUUUUAGAGAAAAAAAUCCUUAUUUUCCCCAUAAAUAUUUCUAAUAGGUGACCAACAUCCCUGUUGAUAACAACAGAAAAACCGGGUACCUUAGUAUAUAUAAAUUUAUUAAAAAGUGGAUCAUUGGAUAAUGCAAUUCAAUACUUUACAUUGGCUUAGCCAUUAUGGUAUAGGUGCAAAUAUACAAUAUUCUAAUAUAUGUACAUUGUAACAUCCAGUUUCUUCUCAGGAAAUAAAGUCAAGAAGAUUUGUUUAAUAUCUUGGGGGCAUUUCUUUUUUCAAGAAAACAAUUAUUCCAUGAGCACUUGUUGCAUAUGAGAUGAUUAUAGCUAACUCGGGGCUAUGCGCCCUGUUGGCUAUGUAUUAUGUCCUAUGCAACAUGCACUCGUGGAAUAAUUGUUAAUUAUAUGUUUUGUUGUGUAGUAUUGGUGAGUAAUUUUAAUACGAGUUGUGCCAUAUUUGAACAGCCCAUAGGGCAAUUAAAAUUACAACCGAGUGAAAAUACACGGCGAUACUACAAACAAAAUGUCUAAUAAGAGAUUUAUUAUCCAACACGCCACAUUUACAUUUCAGUCUGGGCAAAUGUCACGGAUAUUUGUGGAGUAAAAAUAUCACGUGAUAUUUGUAAUCUACUUGCGCGUUGUUUGUACUCUACGAAACAGAGUUGGAUAAGAACGAGUUUUACUGUGGGUGUGGAUCUUUGAAUGGACAGGUGAAUUUGUGCCUCAGCAGAUGUGAAUUGAGAUGUAUGCUGAAAGAAAUUUAUCAAUUUUCAGUAUGUAAGACAUAUGAUAAACAACCUUGACCACUGGGUCAUUCCAGAAUUGCUUUUUGUUCUUUUUACAGCAAGCUGUUUGUUGAAGGAUCAGAGAGCCUAGUGUGAUUUUGUUUUGCAUGAAAUUUGUUAAUUUGUCACUUAUUUCUACUUAAGCAGUUGGGAUAGAGUUAGGGCUGUGAUUCUUCUCUAACAGUUUUUCUCUUGCUUUAUUGGCUCUUGUAGCUAUUGCCUGCUGGACUUCAGCUCAACCAUGUUAAAUUUGGCUACAGGAUGGAAUUUUGAUAAGAAAUUUACCUGGUCCUGCAAAAAGAAGCCCUUCGUGUUCUUGCUUGAGGCAUGUAUUGUCCACCGUGUUAAAUGAGUAGCAGCAAUGCUUUUACCCUCCCAAAUACAUUUAAAAUAGAAGGGCAGUGAUUUCUAGGCAAACUCCAAGACAUACCCCUGGGAUGAAUCCACAUAAAGAUAUUCUCCAAGGGAUUUGAUUGCAAAGCCCAGGUGUGAGGAAGGUAAGGUAUUGAAUUCCCUACUGAAUUGGAGUUUGUUGAUUGGGUUGAAGGUGCUUAUUGGAAGAGGCUUUGUUAAUUUUUAAUAUAUUUUUUUGUAAUAAUUGUUUUUCAAUGUUUUCUCUGGGCAAUCUUUAUGCCUUGGAACUGGUUAAUCAUGAGGCAAAUUUAGUGAGAUGUAUAAUUUGAAGCGUAUUGUGUGUGGAGUUUUUUCCUGAUUUAUUUAGAGACUUAUUUCUCCAAGUAUAUACUAGGUAUUACCUUGUUUCUUUCCCAUCAGUGUCUUCCCAUGGUUGUUGUAUAAGUUGGAUGAAUAUACUUAUUUGCAUGUUUUGGGUCUAUUCUCCUUGAUUUCCCAAAACAUAUUUAUGGAGAAAUUAUUUACACGUAUCCCAUUAUUUGGUUUCUACCCUCCCUUGGACUUUUUUCAAGUGUUCAUGCCACAGCACAUUUUAACAGGCAUAGGCUCACUGACAAGUGACCUCAGAGUGGUAUCUUACAAGAGGAAGCAUAAAGACUCUCCUUGGCCACAGAGCUGUAAAGGGUGACCAUUUGAUAGAUAGCAUAUAUCAAAAUUCAGAGUAAGAAAUUAUUUGGAUGAUUUGGUUGCUUUA
rnacentral:lncRNA from 1 species